rnacentral:rRNA from 1 species
CCUACGGGAGGCAGCAGUGAGGAAUAUUGGUCAAUGGGCGCGAGCCUGAACCAGCCAAGUAGCGUGAAGGAUGACUGCCCUACGGGUUGUAAACUUCUUUUCUCAGGGACGAAGCAAGUGACGGUACCUGAGGAAUAAGCCACGGCUAACUACGUGCCAGCAGCCGCGGUAAUACGUAGGUGGCAAGCGUUAUCCGGAUUUACUGGGUGUAAAGGGCGUGUAGGCGGGAAAGCAAGUCAGAUGUGAAAACCAUGGGCUCAACCUGUGGCCUGCAUUUGAAACUGUUUUUCUUGAGUACUGGAGAGGCAGACAGAAUUCCUAGUGUAGCGGUGAAAUGCGUAGAUAUUAGGAGGAACACCAGUGGCGAAGGCGGUCUGCUGGACAGCAACUGACGCUGAGGCGCGAAAGCGUGGGGAGCAAACAGGAUUAGAUACCCGAGUAGUC